ensembl:misc_RNA 7SK 7SK RNA
GGAUGUAAGGGCGCUCUGGCUGUGACAUCUGUCACCCCAUUGAUGGCCAGGGUUCAUUCGGCUGAUCUGGCUGGCUAGGCCAGUGUCCCCUUCCUCCCUCCCUGUUCCAUGUGCAUCCCUCCAGAAGCUGCGCGCUCGGUCGAAAAGUACAACCAUCCCCAACAGAGGAAGAUCAGUCUUCGGUCAAGGGUAUAGGAGUAGCUGUGCUCCCCUACUAGAACCUCCAAACAAGCUCUCAAGGUCCUAUAUUCUGACUAAAAAUAUACUCUAAGAAUCAAAUUUUCUUAGUUCCACCUUAGUCUAAAAUAGUGCUAUUGAAUAUAGUAAUUCUUUUUU